rnacentral:lncRNA from 1 species
UUUACCCAUAAUCAAACAUACUCACAAACAGGUUGUCAUCACAAGGGCUUUUCAUGGCUUGUAACUUGGCUGGGCUAAGAAGGAAAUUGGUUUUUCUGGUCAGCAAAGUUCCUUGAGUUAAGAGAGACAUUUAUGAAUUCAUCUUUCAAGAACAACUCUCUUAUCUUUUUCCCAGCCUUCCUUUGCAGUGAGCUCUUUAUUUUUCUUUUCUCACUUUUUCUUCUCUUUAGCCUUUUUCUUGCUUUUCUUUUGAUUUUUCUGUUGCUUGCAUACAGCUUAGAGAGCUGGUUUGUGUCCUGGUG